rnacentral:rRNA from 1 species
GACGAACGCUGGCGGCGUGCUUAACACAUGCAAGUCGAACGGAAAGGCCUGUGCUUGCACGGGUACUCGAGUGGCGAACGGGUGAGUAACACGUGGGUGAUCUGCCCUUCACUUCGGGAUAAGCCUGGGAAACUGGGUCUAAUACUGGAUAGGACCAUCGUUUAGUGUCGGUGGUGGAAAGUUUUUUCGGUGGAGGAUGAGCUCGCGGCCUAUCAGCUUGUUGGUGGGGUAAUGGCCUACCAAGGCGACGACGGGUAGCCGGCCUGAGAGGGUGGACGGCCACAUUGGGACUGAGACACGGCCCAGACUCCUACGGGAGGCAGCAGUGGGGAAUCUUGCACAAUGGGCGGAAGCCUGAUGCAGCGACGCCGCGUGAGGGAUGACGGCCUUCGGGUUGUAAACCUCUUUCGCUAGGGAAGAAGCCGCUUUGUGGUGGUGACGGUACCUGGAUAAGAAGCACCGGCUAACUACGUGCCAGCAGCCGCGGUAAUACGUAGGGUGCGAGCGUUGUCCGGAAUUACUGGGCGUAAAGAGCUCGUAGGUGGUUUGUCGCGUCGUCUGUGAAAUCCCGGGGCUUAACUUCGGGCGUGCAGGCGAUACGGGCAAGCUGGAGUGCUGUAGGGGAGACUGGAAUUCCUGGUGUAGCGGUGGAAUGCGCAGAUAUUAGGAAGAACACCGAUGGCGAAGGCAGGUCUCUGGGCAGUAACUGACACUGAGGAGCGAAAAGCAUGGGUAGCGAACAGG